AUGAGGACAGUUUCAGAGCAAGCUCAACAAAGUUUCAAGUGGAUCCCACCGGUUGAAGGUUUCAUAAAAGAAAAUGUCAAUGCUCGGGUUUCGAUAGAACAUAAUGUGGGCAAGGCGGCGGCUGUAUGUCGAGACCGUGAUGGCGCUUAUCUUGGCUCCUCCAUGUUGGUCAUUCAGGGUAUGGUUGAUCCUCCUACGCUAGAGGCAAUUGCAUGUAGAGAGGGUCUUUCUUUAGCGCAAGACCUUGGAAUGCAAAUCUCCAAGUUGCUUCGGGCUGCAAGCAUGUGGUACAUCAUAUUCAUCAAAGAGCUGGAGGGGACUAUGUCAUUAGCAUUAGAGAGAUCUUAG
rnacentral:rRNA from 1 species